ACCCAUCAUCACUCUCCCGACCGCCCUACGUUGAUCUUCGCAAGCAGCAUCACGGCAAUCUGCGACGAAACUGCCAGACCACCACAGAGAGAGCAGAGUCUUUAGAGCAGGAGGUUUUUGUACAGACACUAAAUGAGUUUGUAUCACUGUGGUGGACUUUUGGUGGAGGAACCAAACUGUCAGUUGGCCGUUUGGCCCCGCCCACCCUCACGGUCCUGCCCCCCUCCAGUGAGGCGCUGCAGCAGGGGACGGCCACACUCGUGUGUUUGGCCAACAAGGGCUUCCCCUCAGACUGGAGGCUGAGCUGGAAGGUGGGUGGGAGCAGCUGGAGCUCGGGGGUUAGCGAGAGCCCCGGGCUUCUGCAGAAGGACGACGGCCUCUACAGCUGGAGCAGCACCCUGACCCUCCAGGAGGAGCAGUGGCUAAAGAACACAGUGACCUGUGAGGCCACCAAGGACUCCCAGCCUCCUGUCAGCCAGACACUGAGGAGAGAUCAGUGCUGAGCAGUGAGGACCACACGGGGGUUUCAGCUGAUAGAGCUCCUCUCACUCUCAAAUGAGCUCAAACACGUCUGUGAUUAAUGCUGAAAUGAUGAUCUGAUUAUUUGACUAAAGAAAAUAAAGAGUUUCAAU